ensembl:lncRNA
CCCCUCUCUCAAUGAAUCGGGUUCGCAAACGUUCUGAAUCAGUUCGCGAUUCAGUUUGAAUCAUUUGGACUGCUUACUCACGCAUUGGAUUGUUUGGAGCUGUUUCUCAUUGGGCAGUAGAAAGUUAAAAGCGUUACAAAACGCGUUUUACUUAUUAACAGAGAGCACGAAUAAGACCGCAAGAUAAACUGGAUAUUUACUUACAUCGAAACCACCAAACCCGAAAAUGCAUCUUGUCCUGAAAGCGGUGUUUUUUAUGAGUUCAUAGCCUGCGCUUGAAGCUUGUGAACGACUUCCAGACUGAAGGGAAGAGGUUGAAACGUAAGGGAAAUUCAAAUUCUAAUUGUUGCUGAUAAGAGCAGCAAUGCAUUCAAAAGGUGCCAUAGCAGGAGGUUUGUACAGAGAAAGGGGUUCUGGGUGAUGUUACAGCACAGCUUUGUGCCUAACAUGAGCCUCUCUCAUCUGCGUCCUGAGCUUUCAUUCAUAGGCUGGACACAUGUGGGAUAUGAUCAUGUGGUGAGCUCAACAGACAUCCCUCUAUCCUCUCUCUGCUCAACUCUCUUCUCACUGAUGGUAUUCAUUCAGAGGUCACAUUGAUUCAAACUGUCUGGAUACUGUAAUCCUGUUUUAUAUGCUCUGGGAACGCCGGGCCGGGAACUGUCCUUGCACAGACAUUUGUCAUCUAGGACUGUCAAUGUUAAUAUGUUUACUUAUGAGAUUCAUUCAUGUUUAAUGGUGUUACAUUUGUUUAUUCUGUUCAGUGGGAUUUCUGUUAAAACAAACUGCAUUUUCUUUCACGUUAGUCUGUCUACCAGUCAAUUAUUAAAAAAAAAAAAAAAAAAAUACUUGAUGGGUAAUUUGUUUUAUUAAAUUAACCUAAAUUGGAUUUAAAAUCAUUAGCAUUCUUCUUGGG